UGUAUAAUGGGUCAGCGACUUAUAUUCUGUAGCAAGGUUAACCGAAUAGGGGAGCCGAAGGGAAACCGAGUCUUAACUGGGCGUUAAGUUGCAGGGUAUAGACCCGAAACCCGGUGAUCUAGCCAUGGGCAGGUUGAAGGUUGGGUAACACUAACUGGAGGACCGAACCGACUAAUGUUGAAAAAUUAGCGGAUGACUUGUGGCUGGGGGUGAAAGGCCAAUCAAACCGGGAGAUAGCUGGUUCUCCCCGAAAGCUAUUUAGGUAGCGCCUCGUGAAUUCAUCUCCGGGGGUAGAGCACUGUUUCGGCAAGGGGGUCAUCCCGACUUACCAACCCGAUGCAAACUGCGAAUACCGGAGAAUGUUAUCACGGGAGACACACGGCGGGUGCUAACGUCCGUCGUGAAGAGGGAAACAACCCAGACCGCCAGCUAAGGUCCCAAAGUCAUGGUUAAGUGGGAAACGAUGUGGGAAGGCCCAGACAGCCAGGAUGUUGGCUUAGAAGCAGCCAUCAUUUAAAGAAAGCGUAAUAGCUCACUGGUCGAGUCGGCCUGCGCGGAAGAUGUAACGGGGCUAAACCAUGCACCGAAGCUGCGGCAGCGACACUAUGUGUUGUUGGGUAGGGGAGCGUUCUGUAAGCCUGUGAAGGUGUACUGUGAGGUAUGCUGGAGGUAUCAGAAGUGCGAAUGCUGACAUAAGUAACGAUAAAGCGGGUGAAAAGCCCGCUCGCCGGAAGACCAAGGGUUCCUGUCCAACGUUAAUCGGGGCAGGGUGAGUCGACCCCUAAGGCGAGGCCGAAAGGCGUAGUCGAUGGGAAACAGGUUAAUAUUCCUGUACUUGGUGUUACUGCGAAGGGGGGACGGAGAAGGCUAUGUUGGCCGGGCGACGGUUGUCCCGGUUUAAGCGUGUAGGCUGGUUUUCCAGGCAAAUCCGGAAAAUCAAGGCUGAGGCGUGAUGACGAGGCACUACGGUGCUGAAGCAACAAAUGCCCUGCUUCCAGGAAAAGCCUCUAAGCAUCAGGUAACAUCAAAUCGUACCCCAAACCGACACAGGUGGUCAGGUAGAGAAUACCAAGGCGCUUGAGAGAACUCGGGUGAAGGAACUAGGCAAAAUGGUGCCGUAACUUCGGGAGAAGGCACGCUGAUAUGUAGGUGAAGUCCCUCGCGGAUGGAGCUGAAAUCAGUCGAAGAUACCAGCUGGCUGCAACUGUUUAUUAAAAACACAGCACUGUGCAAACACGAAAGUGGACGUAUACGGUGUGACGCCUGCCCGGUGCCGGAAGGUUAAUUGAUGGGGUUAGCCGCAAGGCGAAGCUCUUGAUCGAAGCCCCGGUAAACGGCGGCCGUAACUAUAACGGUCCUAAGGUAGCGAAAUUCCUUGUCGGGUAAGUUCCGACCUGCACGAAUGGCGUAAUGAUGGCCAGGCUGUCUCCACCCGAGACUCAGUGAAAUUGAACUCGCUGUGAAGAUGCAGUGUACCCGCGGCAAGACGGAAAGACCCCGUGAACCUUUACUAUAGCUUGACACUGAACAUUGAGCCUUGAUGUGUAGGAUAGGUGGGAGGCUU
rnacentral:rRNA from 1 species